CGUCCCGAGUACACGAUCCCAGUGAAGUUCUACGGGAGGGUGGAGCACGGCCCGGGCGGGGCCAGGUGGCUGGACACGCAGGUGGUGCUGGCUGUGCCCUAUGACACCCCCGUGCCCGGGUACCGCAACAACACCGUCAACACUCUGCGGCUCUGGUCGGCCCGAGCUCCCAACGACUUCAACCUCAAGGACUUCAAUGUCGGGGGGUAC